CCACCUUGGAGGCCUUCUGGUCCAGACCUCAGCCUGUGGGAUGGGGUGCUGUGGACACGAAUAACUUGUUGCCCACAAGCCUGCCCUGUAUUUCUGAUUUUAGUUACCUAUUCCACUAACCAUCAGUAUCUUAUCCAUUCUCAGGAGUACUUCCCGAAGGAAUGCCCACCUAGAGGAAGACCAUGGUCCCCAAGAUAGCUCCAUGCCUGAAACACGCAGGGAGCAGUGCUGCUGUCCAGGAAGAAGCUGUGUGUCUGGAGGUGGCUCUUUUCUGCGAUCCUCAAGGAGAGGAGAUAUGAGAGAUACAGGUUCCAUCCCUGAGUCAAGAAGAUCCCCUGGAGAUGGAAAUGGCAAGCUGCUCCAGUAAGUCUUCCCUGGAGAAUUCCAUGGACAGAGGAGCCUGGCAGGCGGCAGCCCAUGGGGUCGCAAAGAGUUGGACAUGACUGAGCAUGCACACAUCAGGAGGCAUCCACAUCAACCUCUCUUCAGUAUCAAAUACCAGCUUGGAAGAUGUCCUGAACGACACGGAAGUUGUCAGCUCAAGUCCAGGGACUCCAUGGAGGUGAAGCCAGCCUCUGGGGAAGGAAGUGGUUCUUGGUCGGCUCCAAAGCCGGGGCACAGAGGUAGGUCAUCUGCCUUGUGUUUGCUUCAAUGGCAGUAGGCCAUGUCUCAGUGCUGGGCUUUUUCGUGGCAGCUGGGGAAGGGGCAUGGGUUCUUGGGAAGCCCCAGGUCUUUCCACUUCAUCCCCACUUGGUUUGAUGAGUGUCAGAACGGCUGCGGUGAUAGCCAUGAACGGCACUGAAGAAAGUGAAAGUGUUAGUCGCUUGUUGUGCCUGACUCUUUGCGACCCCAUGGACUGUAGCCCACCAGGCUCCUUCAUCCAUGGAAUUUUCCAGGCAAAAAUACUGGCGUGGGUUGCCUUCCUUCUCCAGGGGAAUCUUCUCAACCCAGGGUUCGAACCCAGCUGCCUGCAUUGCAGGCAGCUUCUUUACCAUCUGAGCCACCAGGAAGGCCUACCAGUCUUUUAUAUCCUGUUAGCUGAUGCCCAAACAUCAUUCCUUACACCAGAAAAGAGCCAUGAGGGGAAAAAUAGAGAAAGGUGAAGAAGUGGGGUUACGGCGGGGGCCAUCGCCUCUGAUGUGUCCAGGGUAGCGGCUGCUGCGUUCUUACAGGCUGGGCGCUCUGGUGGCUCACCGGGGAUCAGAGACAGAUUGUCAGGGUGGAGGGGGCCAGCCUGAGUGGUGACCCUCUUUGUCCUCAGCUCUAAAGGUCAGCUACGGAGAGAGGGGAGGGCACCAUUAUACCACUUGACAAGAGAAAACCUGGGUUUCUUUUUCUGUGACUUUUGAGUCCUAGCUCUCCAGGCCUGUUGGGGUGGGCCUGCCUCCUUAGUGAAAUGAAAGUCUACAGAGAUCAAUAUUCCCCCAUGAAAGAAUUAUGGUCAAAAGGGUUUUGCAGUAAAACAGAAAAGCUAACCCAGAUGUGGCCCAAACAUUUGGCCAACUGACUUCCAGAAAUGAAAGUUGUUUUUCUUCCUUAAUUCUGCUAAAUUAAAUGGAAGGUAGUGGAAAGUAGUUAAGUGGUGUUUCAUGUGGAAGAUGGAGGCCUGGCUCUAUCCCCAUCUGUCCCUACCCUGGCUUGGCGCUUACUUUACUUAGGACUAACUUGAUAUCAUGCAUCUGUUUUUAGAACCACAGCUUACUUGGAAGAUUACCUGGACCCGUAGCCGAUUCCUUGCAGGGGCCUGGGUGUCUGUUCACUGCAGACCACGUCUCCGGCCUCUUGACCACAAAAUGUGGGAUUUAUCUGUGAAUUUGCUCCUGAUGCAUUGACCUUGGGGUGCAAGCCAUUGCUGGGACACUUCCUGAGGCCUGAUAUAGCAAUAUUUCUAGAAGGAGAUUACAGUUUCCCCAUCAAGGAAAGCUCCAAUUCCUGGAAAGCAGUUGUAACUAAAUGUUCUCUGUACUGGUGGAAAAUAUUUCACAAGUGACCUCUUUUCAGUGUUAAGUCUUAAAGGGUUUCUUGGCUGACCUCCGGAAGCAACCCCAAGACAUUCGAUUCAGACUCUGCGCUUGUAUAUGACACAUGUCAACUCGUCCAUCCGGGGCCACACAGGCUCAGGAAAACUUCUCCAGCAUCAGCGGAAGACUGCACGAUGUUUUGUUUUCUUUUUUGGUGUGUGUUUUUGACCAGGG
ensembl:lncRNA